rnacentral:rRNA from 1 species
UUAAAUUGAAGAGUUUGAUCAUGGCUCAGAUUGAACGCUGGCGGCAGGCCUAACACAUGCAAGUCGAACGGUAACAGGAAGCAGCUUGCUGCUUUGCUGACGAGUGGCGGACGGGUGAGUAAUGUCUGGGAAACUGCCCGAUGGAGGGGGAUAACUACUGGAAACGGUAGCUAAUACCGCAUAACGUCGCAAGACCAAAGAGGGGGACCUUCGGGCCUCUUGCCAUCGGAUGUGCCCAGAUGGGAUUAGCUAGUAGGUGGGGUAAAGGCUCACCUAGGCGACGAUCCCUAGCUGGUCUGAGAGGAUGACCAGCCACACUGGAACUGAGACACGGUCCAGACUCCUACGGGAGGCAGCAGUGGGGAAUAUUGCACAAUGGGCGCAAGCCUGAUGCAGCCAUGCCGCGUGUAUGAAGAAGGCCUUCGGGUUGUAAAGUACUUUCAGCGGGGAGGAAGGGAGUAAAGUUAAUACCUUUGCUCAUUGACGUUACCCGCAGAAGAAGCACCGGCUAACUCCGUGCCAGCAGCCGCGGUAAU